rnacentral:sRNA from 1 species
UGCACUAGAGCCAUCGCUCGUAAAAUA